GUGCUCACUUUGGCAGCACGUAUACUAAAAUUGGAACAAUACAGGGGAGACUAGCAUGGCUUAUGCCUAAGGAUGGCACGCAAACUCAUGAAGCGUUCCAUAUACAA
ensembl:snRNA U6 U6 spliceosomal RNA